UACGGGGGGGGGCAAGCGUUGUUCGGAAUUACUGGGCGUAAAGGGCUCGUAGGCGGCCAACUAAGUCAGACGUGAAAUCCCUCGGCUUAACCGGGGAACUGCGUCUGAUACUGGAUGGCUUGAGUUUGGGAGAGGGAUGCGGAAUUCCAGGUGUAGCGGUGAAAUGCGUAGAUAUCUGGAGGAACACCGGUGGCGAAGGCGGCAUCCUGGACCAACACUGACGCUGAUGAGCGAAAGCCAGGGGAGCAAACGGGG
rnacentral:rRNA from 1 species